rnacentral:lncRNA from 8 species
UUUACAAAAAUAUCUUGCUUGGGAGUUAUUAGUAACUAGUACACAUUUUCUUUGUCCUUAAAAUACUCAUUAUGCCCUCUGAUGUCUUUCUACAGUUGACUCGAGGAUACAAAAAUGUAUAUCCUGCAAUCUUCCUCAGAUGCAUCAUCAUCAGUUUCUGGUAUGUUAAUUUUUCAUUUUGGUCCAUAUUUCUACAACUUACUUGCAGCUAGAACAAGUGUGUUAUAUACGUUUACCAUCAUUUAAUAAUACUAAUACUACUAAAACCAAUCCCAUUUCACAUACAUUCUACUUCUUUGAUUUUUAGGUCUGGGUCUGUGGGUGUGACAACCAACGUGUUCUUCAGAAAUCAGUCAGUGGUCCCUAACGUUACAGAUGUAGUGGAAUCCCUCAAGACAUCCAUCAACACGUCCACAGUUUUCUUAGAUGUUAUUCCUGGCAGUAUCAAAGCUGAAAUCACAAACUCCCCGACUAAUGCUACAACUAAUGCUAUGACUACUGCUACGACUACUGCAACCGCCACGACAAUGACGCCAGCAGCAGCCACAAAAACUACAAUGACGCCAGCAGCAGCCACAAAAACUACAGAGGGUUCAAAUUCCUGCUGCAGCGCUAUGGGAAGAAACAGACUUCAAGAAAUGGUCACUUUACUAUUUGCUUUAAUGCUGAUCUAUUUCUUCUGAACAGAAUAACUCUAGGACUCAAUUAAACCCAUUAAGUAUAACAUAUUCCACAAUAAAGGCAUAUGUAACUUCAGCUAUUAAGAUUGAGAGGUGAAGAAACGACUAAUACUGUCUUGAAGCAAUUGCUUUUUAUUAUGAUGAUGUAUAAAAAAUGUUGUCUAAUUUAUUUAAACAAAAUUGGCCUCAAUAGAAAAUAAUUCACAAAAGAAUGCUGAUAAUGUAAUGAAGCUGAUUCUGCCACAAUACCAGAAAAUGUAUCAUCGUGUAAAUGUGAUGUUUUGCUAUUUAAUAUUUACAUUUUGUUUUAGUAUAUUGCAAUAGCUAAUGAAUAAUUUAAUAUCAUAUACAUGAAAUUAACUAAUUAAAUUAUAAAAUAAGCAUGUAAACCUAAUUGUCUAUUCUGUCAUCUAUAUUUUUCCUUAUUGUAACCCAACUCUAGCCAUACGCUGUAAUUUUUGGAAAUUACUUUGAAAACCCUUGAAUAAAAAAUGCCAUAUAAAACCAUAUACCAAUAAACAUGUAUUAACAAAUACCCUUUAGAUAGUAGAUGUAUUGUAAUAACACUGAAAUAAACAAAAAUUGAUCUUAUCAAUGUUGUUGUGGUCUACAUACUACAUUAUACAGACCAUACUCAUCUGAGAAAUUGAGUGCCAUGAACUUGAAAAUGUUCAACAGGCUGUAAAUCACUAAAUUGUACAUUUCCGAAAUGCCUGACAAACAAAAUGUUGGCUGGAGGAAGUAUCAGCAAGUGAGAUCUCAUAACAGAUAUCAUACACUGCCUUCAGGAAUAUUCACACCCCUUGAUUUUUUCAGAAAGAAAAUGUUACAGCCUAUUUAAAAUGGAUUAAAUUAAGAUUUUG